rnacentral:tRNA from 1 species
UGACCCAUUAGCUCAGUCGGCAGAGCACUUGACUUUUAAUCAAGGUGUCGCGCGUUCGAAUCGCGCAUGGGUCACCAU